rnacentral:rRNA from 1 species
ACCAAGCCGGUGACGGGUAGCUGGUUUGUGAGAAUGACCAGCCAGACUGGGACUGAGAGACGGCCCAGACUCCUACGGGAGGCAGCAGCAAGGAAUUUUCGGCAAUGGGCGCAAGCCUGACCGAGCAACGCCGCGUGCAGGACGACGGCCUUCGGGUUGUAAACUGCUUUUGGUGGGGAUGACAACGACAGUACCCGCCGAACAAGCCCCGGCUAACUCUGUGCCAGCAGCCGCGGUAAGACAGAGGGGGCAAGCGUUGUCCGGACUGACUGGGCGUAAAGCGCACGCAGGUGGUCGUGCAAGUGUGGUGUGAAAGCGCUCCGCUUAACGGAGCGAGGCCAUCGCAGACUGCAGGACUGGAGCUAUGCAGAGGUUCGUGGAAUUGCCGGUGUAGUGGUGAAAUGCGUAGAGAUCGGCAGGAACACCAAGGGCGGAAGCAGCGAACUGGGCAUCGGCUGACACUCAUGUGCGAAAGCGUGGGGAGCGAACCGGAUUAGAUACCCGGGUAGUCCACGCUGUAAACGAUGGACGCUCGGCAUCUGGGGGCUAUCUGGCCGCUGGGUGCCUCAGCUAACGCGGGAAGCGUCCCGCCUGGGAACUACGAGCGCAAGCUUAAAACUCAAAGGAAUUGACGGGAGCCCGCACAAGCAGCGGAGCGUGUGGUUUAAUUCGACGCAACGCGUAGCACCUCACCCAGACUUGACAUGUGUCUGCAGGUCGGGGAAACCCGGCCGCCUUCGAGGGUGACACACAGAUGCUGCAUGGCUGUCGUCAGCUCGUGUCGUGAGAUGUUGGGUUAAGUCCCGCAACGAGCGCAACCCCUGCGGUCAGUUACUUGUGUCUGGCCGGACUGCCCUUGAGUGGGAGGAAGGCGGGGAUGACGUCAAGUCCGCAUGGCUCUUACGUCUGGGGCGACACACACGCUACAAUGGCACCGACAGCGCGCAGCGACCGGGCAACCGGAAGCGAAUCGCCAAACGGUGUCCCAGUGCAGAUCGGGGGCUGCAACUCGCCCCCGUGAAGGCGGAGUUGCUAGUAACCGCGUAUCAGCCACGGCGCGGUGAAUACGUACCCGGGCCUUGUACACACCGCCCGUCACGUCAUGGGAGUUGUCAAUGCCUGAAGUCCGUGGGCCAACCCGCAAGGGAGGCAGCGGCCGAGGGCAGGGGCAGCGACUGGGACGAAGUCGUAACAAGGUAGCCGUACCGGAAGGUGUGGCUG